GCCCAGGUUUAAACUACGUUGGCUGCGGACACAGGAAAGGAAGGACAACGCCAAGGAUGAUGGCCCAGGUUUUGCAACCAAUGAUGGAAGCUUUGAAUGCAUAGUUGCAGGUGCUUCUGAUUUGCCAGGUGACUUCGAUCCCGAACAGAAGAAAGAGAAAAUACACCACUGAUCUAGUGACAGUGAGGGUACCGUUAUCCUUGACCCCACUCCAGCUGAUGUUUACAAGGACACAAGUGUACCUGAGCUCAGAAGAACGGACAGGUAUUUGUAAGAUCAUUUGCAAAACUUCACAUGCUUUAAUUUGAGUGUCUAAACUUGUCCUGCAUUCAGGAAGAACUGUCUGACAGACAUUUUUUUCUACGUCUAAAAUACCAUAACAAUAAUUGAUAACUUUAUUUGAAGGUGUCUACAUAAGAGUGACAUGACACCGUCAUAACUACGAC
ensembl:lncRNA